rnacentral:rRNA from 1 species
UUAAGCGACUAAGCGUACACGGUGGAUGCCCUGGCAGUCAGAGGCGAUGAAGGACGUGCUAAUCUGCGAAAAGCGUCGGUAAGGUGAUAUGAACCGUUAUAACCGGCGAUGUCCGAAUGGGGAAACCCAGUGCAAUUCGUUGCACUAUCGUUAACUGAAUACAUAGGUUAACGAGGCGAACCGGGGGAACUGAAACAUCUAAGUACCCCGAGGAAAAGAAAUCAACCGAGAUUCCCCCAGUAGCGGCGAGCGAACGGGGAGCAGCCCAGAGUCUGAAUCAGCUUGUGUGUUAGUGGAACGGUCUGGAAAGUCCGACGGUACAGGGUGAUAGUCCCGUACACCAAAAUGCACAGGUUGUGAACUCGAAGAGUAGGGCGGGACACGUGGUAUCCUGUCUGAAUAUGGGGGGACCAUCCUCCAAGGCUAAAUACUCCUGACUGACCGAUAGUGAACCAGUACCGUGAGGGAAAGGCGAAAAGAACCCCGGCGAGGGGAGUGAAAAAGAACCUGAAACCGUGUACGUACAAGCAGUGGGAGCACCUUCGGGUGUGACUGCGUACCUUUUGUAUAAUGGGUCAGCGACUUAUAUUCUGUAGCAAGGUUAACCGUAUAGGGGAGCCGCAGGGAAACCGAGUCUUAACUGGGCGUUAAGUUGCAGGGUAUAGACCCGAAACCCGGUGAUCUAGCCAUGGGCAGGUUGAAGGUUGGGUAACACUAACUGGAGGACCGAACCGACUAAUGUUGAAAAAUUAGCGGAUGACUUGUGGCUGGGGGUGAAAGGCCAAUCAAACCGGGAGAUAGCUGGUUCUCCCCGAAAGCUAUUUAGGUAGCGCCUCGUGAAUUCAUCUUCGGGGGUAGAGCACUGUUUCGGCUAGGGGGUCAUCCCGACUUACCAACCCGAUGCAAACUACGAAUACCGAAGAAUGUUAUCACGGGAGACACACGGCGGGUGCUAACGUCCGUCGUGAAGAGGGAAACAACCCAGACCGCCAGCUAAGGUCCCAAAGUCAUGGUUAAGUGGGAAACGAUGUGGGAAGGCACAGACAGCCAGGAUGUUGGCUUAGAAGCAGCCAUCAUUUAAAGAAAGCGUAAUAGCUCACUGGUCGAGUCGGCCUGCGCGGAAGAUGUAACGGGGCUAAACCAUGCACCGAAGCUGCGGCAGCGACACUAUGUGUUGUUGGGUAGGGGAGCGUUCUGUAAGCCUGCGAAGGUGACCUGUGAGGGUUGCUGGAGGUAUCAGAAGUGCGAAUGCUGACAUAAGUAACGAUAAAGCGGGUGAAAAGCCCGCUCGCCGGAAGACCAAGGGUUCCUGUCCAACGUUAAUCGGGGCAGGGUGAGUCGACCCCUAAGGCGAGGCCGAAAGGCGUAGUCGAUGGGAAACAGGUUAAUAUUCCUGUACUUGGUGUUACUGCGAAGGGGGGACGGAGAAGGCUAUGUUAGCCGGGCGACGGUUGUCCCGGUUUAAGCAUGUAGGCUGGUUGUCCAGGCAAAUCCGGAUAAUCAAGGCUGAGGUGUGAUGACGAGGCACUACGGUGCUGAAGUAACAAAUGCCCUGCUUCCAGGAAAAGCCUCUAAGCAUCAGGUAACAUCAAAUCGUACCCCAAACCGACACAGGUGGUCAGGUAGAGAAUACCAAGGCGCUUGAGAGAACUCGGGUGAAGGAACUAGGCAAAAUGGUGCCGUAACUUCGGGAGAAGGCACGCUGGUGUGUAGGUGAAGUCCCUGCGGAUGGAGCUGAGACCAGUCGAAGAUACCAGCUGGCUGCAACUGUUUAUUAAAAACACAGCACUGUGCAAACACGAAAGUGGACGUAUACGGUGUGACGCCUGCCCGGUGCCGGAAGGUUAAUUGAUGGGGUUAUCCGUAAGGAGAAGCUCUUGAUCGAAGCCCCGGUAAACGGCGGCCGUAACUAUAACGGUCCUAAGGUAGCGAAAUUCCUUGUCGGGUAAGUUCCGACCUGCACGAAUGGCGUAAUGAUGGCCAGGCUGUCUCCACCCGAGACUCAGUGAAAUUGAACUCGCUGUGAAGAUGCAGUGUACCCGCGGCAAGACGGAAAGACCCCGUGAACCUUUACUAUAGCUUGACACUGAACAUUGAGCCUUGAUGUGUAGGAUAGGUGGGAGGCUUUGAAGCGUGGACGCCAGUCUGCGUGGAGCCAACCUUGAAAUACCACCCUUUAAUGUUUGAUGUUCUAACGUUGGCCCCUGACCGGGGUUGCGGACAGUGUCUGGUGGGUAGUUUGACUGGGGCGGUCUCCUCCCAAAGCGUAACGGAGGAGCACGAAGGUUAGCUAAUCCUGGUCGGACAUCAGGAGGUUAGUGCAAUGGCAUAAGCUAGCUUGACUGCGAGCGUGACGGCGCGAGCAGGUGCGAAAGCAGGUCAUAGUGAUCCGGUGGUUCUGAAUGGAAGGGCCAUCGCUCAACGGAUAAAAGGUACUCCGGGGAUAACAGGCUGAUACCGCCCAAGAGUUCAUAUCGACGGCGGUGUUUGGCACCUCGAUGUCGGCUCAUCACAUCCUGGGGCUGAAGUAGGUCCCAAGGGUAUGGCUGUUCGCCAUUUAAAGUGGUACGCGAGCUGGGUUUAGAACGUCGUGAGACAGUUCGGUCCCUAUCUGCCGUGGGCGCUGGAGAAUUGAGGGGGGCUGCUCCUAGUACGAGAGGACCGGAGUGGACGCAUCACUGGUGUUCGGGUUGUCAUGCCAAUGGCACUGCCCGGUAGCUAAAUGCGGAAGAGAUAAGUGCUGAAAGCAUCUAAGCACGAAACUUGCCCCGAGAUGAGUUCUCCCUGAGACUUUAAGUCUCCUGAAGGAACGUUGAAGACGACGACGUUGAUAGGCCGGGUGUGUAAGCGCAGCGAUGCGUUGAGCUAACCGGUACUAAUGAACCGUGAGGCUUAACCUU